CCACAUCAGGCUCACUUGGCUGGAGACAUCCGCUAGUUAAAGAUGUUCUCCUGUUGCUUGCCGACUUCCCGGGGCUCUGGCUUCCAGAAACCCCAGGGAUGUGGCUUUUUCACUUGCUGUGGAUUUUGGUUCCGCCGUCACACCCCACGCCUCAGGGCAUUUGCCAGGAGGCGCCCUAAGGUAAUACUGAGCAGCCCAGGCCAGGCCAGGCCACCUGUGCCAGCCAUCCUGGGCAGCCCCAUCCCCUCCUCUUCAGUUUCAGGGAACCAGGGAUGUGUGAGCAGGUCCCAUCCAGGCUGGAGGAGGUUGCAGGGGCAGGUGUCCUGGUGAUCCCUCCAUGGUCACACUGAUGUCAUGGUGGGCAGGGUGGAAAGAGGAUUCCUGAGGUGCCUCUUACCCAUCCCAGAGUUAACCCAAGGUCCUAGAGCUGCAUCCCUUUUCUCUCCUUGGGGGAGGUGUGUGCUGACUGUGGUGUGGUGUGUCUGGAAUGGAGUCAUCUGGGUGUGAGGCCCAGCCAAGGCAGCCAGACCGGGCGCUGAGGCAUCCUGCCUGGCUGCCGGGCACUGUCUUUACAGAGAUCCAAACAGGAGAUGGGGCAGGAGUGGGAGGAAGAGAACCUCCGCUCCACCUCCUUGAGGAAGGGGAAAGUGCCCUGCAUAGAUAAGAGAGGCCAGCGCGGGCUCAAGGUGGAGCCAUCUGAAACCUUGGCCACCCUGGAAGAAGAGCAGGCCCGGGUGCACACUAUUGUGGUCCCCUACAUGCCGAAGCAACCACCAACCUCAGUCGAGCAACCAGCUUCGGCACUUGAGCAGCAUGCUGAACCACCUCAAGAGCCUGCCCAAUCUCCUACCGUGGGGUCAGCUGAAGCUUCUGGGCCUGAUCUGUUCAAGCCAGACACUGCUGUUGGAGCUGAGUGUUUUGCCCAAGUCGAGAUGCCAGGGGCUGAGUUGAAGCCAGUGCACAUGGUGGGCACACCUCUAAUUGACUGUCCCGAACUGGAGGAGCCACUUGCACCCUUGGCUGCCCCGGAUGAGGAGCAGUCCCCAGAGCCUGCAGUCAAGGUCCCUGAAGAGCUGGAGCAGCCACCUGUCUUAGUUCAGCAACCAGCUUCGGCCCCUGAGCAAAAUCAUGAACCACGUCAAGAGCCCGCCCCAGCUACCACUAUGGGGCCUGAUGAGCCAUCAGGGCCUGAGAUGCCUGGACCUGAGUGCUUGGCAGGAGCCGAGAUGGCACCUGCUGAUUCGAAGCCACUGCAGGUGUUGGUCACACCUGUGAUUCACUGUCCGGAGCUGGAGGAACCACCUGCACCCGUGGCCCCUCCCAAAGGUGAAGCAGGCCUUCAAGUUCUUCAAAGGGCCGGUGCAGCCACCUGCCUUAGCAGAGAAGCCGGCCUCGGCCGCCGAGCAGCAGCUCGUGAUGCCUGCAACCCAAUGGAAGUUUUCCCCUCCCCUCUCAUUGCACUGUUUCUAAUUUUUGUGGUUGCCAUAAACCUCUAUAAUUGGUUCAUGAGUUUUUUUUGUAAUAAACGUUAACUUUGUAUAAAAAUUUCCUCUGAUGCUUUUAAAUUAUACAUCGUGGUACUUUAGGUCCAUUCCCAGUGUCACCCAGGCGAGACCAGAAGGUACUUGGGCCACAUUUCCAC
rnacentral:lncRNA from 1 species